CAGCAGCCGCGGGAACACGAAGGGGGCUAGCGUUGCUCGGAAUGACUGGGCGUAAAUGGCGCGUAGGCGGCUUGCACAGUCAGAUGUGAAAUUCCUGGGCUCAACCUGGGGACUGCAUUUGAUACGUGUGGGCUUGAGUGGAGAAGAGGGUUGUGGAAUUUCCAGUGUAGAGGUGAAAUUCGUAGAUAUUGGAAAGAACACCGGUGGCGAAGGCGGCAACCUGGUCUUUAACUGACGCUGAGGCGCGAAAGCGUGGGGAGCAAACAGGAUUAGAUACCCCAGUAGUCCCUGUCUCUUAUAA
rnacentral:rRNA from 1 species